UAGGAAUAGAUGUUUUGCAGUCUCCCAUUUGAAAAAGAAAGGUGCCCAAAAUAUAGAUCUUUUUUUUUCUUGUUAAACCAGUUUGAAACUAAUUAAAACCAUAACUGCAGUUAAAUAAUCUAAAUGCACAGGCAGUUCAUCCAUUCAGAAACAUUAAUAAGUGCACUUAGAUCAGUCAUGUAUUACUGAUAGUACCAGUCUCCAGAUCUUAGAUUACUAUAAUUUUAAAUGGACUCAAGUAUUGUUGAUUACAGGAUGUUCAUAGUUAGAUGGAAUUUUAUUUCUCUUUAAUAUUUAGAAUUGGCCUCUUAAUGAUAAAAAUUGUAUUACUGGGCUUGGAGCCUGUGACCAUGGAUGUUUCCCAUAAUCAAGAUUAUUGUCUUAUGCCAAGGAGGCUGUAACUAGAGUUUUUAUGUCUGCAUCUGCUGCACUUCAGGACCUUCAAAUUUAGUGUUUCAUUAUUUUGUCUCAAUUUAAAAGGAGAAAAAGAAAGGUGCCCAAAAUAUAGAUCUUUUUUCUUUCUUGUUAAACCAGUUUGAAACUAAUUAAAACCAUAACUGCAGUUAAAUAAUCUAAAUGCACAGGCAGUUCAUCCAUUCAGAAACAUUAAUAAGUGCACUUAGAUCAGUCAUGUAUUACUGAUAGUACCAG
rnacentral:lncRNA from 1 species